CUCCUCACAUUAAACGUUAUAGGAGGAGUUUACAUUUGGUUGCCAGCUGUAAAGUUAAACGAAGAAAGGAUACAAAAACAGAAACUUGCUACAUCCGAAAGUUCUAAUGAAGAACUGAAGAGUUAGAGAUAGUAUAUUUUCGAUAUCAGCGCCAGAGGCAAGUGAAGCUCAUCAUAGCUUAGGGCACUCAACAACCAGUUACCAUGGCCAAAAGAAUGCCAAACAUAAAUAGGAAUUUCGUGUUAGGCAUGGGACUCUUUAUUUUUGGUUCCUACCAGCUUCGAAAACGCUGGUCCAGUACCUGGAUGGACAACAUGGAAAUUGAAGUGAGCAGUUACACCCAGAGGCAGAAGCUCAAGGAUAAAAAUACAGAAGAACUGGCAGAUUAACUUCUCAUCUUUCCUCUCCUGUGUGUGUUAAUGAAUUAUUGAUAAAAUUUAGUGUCUAGCAUACUGAGGUAUGCUUGUUUAUGUAAUGGAAUGAGGAAACUAAACAAAAAAGAAAAAUACUUAUUAGGACUAACAUUCAUCAUAUAAAUGAUACAUUUUUGUCCCCUACCGGUUUCACCGGAGGGGACUUAUGGUUUGCGCUCUGUCUGUCAGGCUGUCCGUCACAUUUUUCUGGAUCAUGCAAUAACUUAAAAAGUUCUUCAUAUUUUUUCAUGAAACUUGAAACAUGGAUUGAUGGCAAUAUGGACAUUUUGCACGUCAUUUCAUUUUGUUCCUACAUCAAAAAUUCUGGUUGCUAUGGCAACAAAUAUAAUUAAUAAAAAAAGUAAUAUGACAAUGAUGGAAUUUCUGACAAUGGUGGAGCCGAUAGGGGACUUUUAUUGCUUGGCAAUAAUCUUGUUGAAACUGUUUUAUGCAUUUUAAAAUUGUGUUUUUCAGAACAUGGUAUUUAUUUAACUAAGCUUAAUUACAUGUAAUUGUUACUUAACUUAAGAAUUAUGAUGUGACAUGUAUAUUGCCAUUUUUUUUGUAAAACUCCUGAUAUGAUGUAAAAGGUAUAAUGUAUAAUUAUGAAUCUCCAUGGAGGUCUGUUUGUCUCACUGUAGACACAAAGAAGUUCUCAUACAAUUUCCAACUUGCAAUAGUCAAAUUGGCUAGGACUCGUCCUUAUAACAUGUAGUUGUGCAUGUGCAAAAUUAUAUAUCUUCUAAACCUUCAUGUGUCAUAUUUGCUAUGUAACAUUGAAUAUUGACUUUCACAAAAUCAUGACCCUCGAGCCGAAAUGGGCCAUAUUGAGAGAGUCUAUUAUAAUUGUUUAUAUUGACUUAAAUAAUGUCCUUAGAGUUUAAAUCUGGUCACUCCUUCUUUAAGUCCAAUAUUUGACUGUUAAAACUGUUUACGUUUUAUUACAUGCAGCAUCGGGCGUAUUUAUCAAUACUGUGACAAGGUCUAGUUACUUUAGCAUAUACUGUAAAUGCAUACUUACGGUGUUUUAUCCCUUUCCCAAUCUGAAGCAAAGUGAAAACGGCUAUGAGCAAACAGCGUAAAACAAGGAAAAGCCUGCAAGUAACUCGCAGCCUGUUCAGGUUUUAUGCUGUUUGCUGCUCAUCAGUAUCUAAGGGUUGGAAAUGAAGCCUUUUAAACUUGAAUUUAAUAAGAAAGUUAUUUAAUUAAAUUGAACUUCCUAUGGGACUAAAAAUGCAUCAAAAUAUGUAUCUUAGUGGUAUAGGGUUUCCAUGUCAUUGAUCAUGUACAUGAUUGUUUGUGUUUAUGAUUUAGAAUGCAUGUUUAAGUUUACAAAUAAAUGUUUGUUAUGAAAUAAA